rnacentral:rRNA from 1 species
GGAUCCAGACCUUGAUCCUGGCUCAGGAUGAACGCUAGCUACAGGCUUAACACAUGCAAGUCGAGGGGAAACGACAUCGAAAGCUUGCUUUUGAUGGGCGUCGACCGGCGCACGGGUGAGUAACGCGUAUCCAACCUGCCCACCACUUGGGGAUAACCUUGCGAAAGUAAGACUAAUACCCAAUGACAUCCCACGAAGGCAUCCGAAUGGGAUUAAAGAUUUAUCGGUGAUGGAUGGGGAUGUGUCUGAUUAGCUUGUUGGCGGGGUAACGGCCCACCAAGGCAACGAUCAGUAGGGGUUCUGAGAGGAAGGUCCCCCACAUUGGAACUGAGACACGGUCCAAACUCCUACGGGAGGCAGCAGUGAGGAAUAUUGGUCAAUGGGCGAGAGCCUGAACCAGCCAAGUAGCGUGCAGGAAGACGGCCCUAUGGGUUGUAAACUGCUUUUAUAAGGGAAUAAAGUGGGUCACGUGUGACUUUUUGCAUGUACCUUAUGAAUAAGGACCGGCUAAUUCCGUGCCAGCAGCCGCGGUAAUACGGAAGGUCCGGGCGUUAUCCGGAUUUAUUGGGUUUAAAGGGAGCGUAGGCCGGAGAUUAAGCGUGUUGUGAAAUGUAGAGGCUCAACCUCUGCACUGCAGCGCGAACUGGUCUUCUUGAGUACGCACAACGUGGGCGGAAUUCGUGGUGUAGCGGUGAAAUGCUUAGAUAUCACGAAGAACUCCGAUUGCGAAGGCAGCUCACGGGAGCGCAACUGACGCUGAAGCUCGAAAGUGCGGGUAUCGAACAGGAUUAGAUACCCUG